AUCCUUGAUAUGUUCACUUUAAUCAGUGAUAGAUAUUCUCUCUUUGGUAUUCUACCCAGUAUAAAGGUAGUUGUAAUCCCAAUUUUUAUUCCCUAGAAGGUUAAUCCUUAAUAUGUUCAUCCUAACCUGUGACGUAUUUCCUCUUCUUUGCGUUCUUCUUCCCAAUAACUGGUAGUUGUAAAUCCUGCUUCCCCUUUGCGG
rnacentral:lncRNA from 1 species